rnacentral:misc_RNA from 1 species
UUUUUUUUUUUUUUCUGAUUUACUGUGUCCGGUCAUGCGUGAUUUUUCUCACAAGUCAUGUGUGAUUUAUCUCACAAGCCAGUGUCUCACAUCAUUUCUCAAGCUGGCCUCUCAAAUAAAAAAAAGAAAAGGCUAAAUCCCUGUUCUACUUCAAUGUUUUGAUAAUUAUAAUGCUGAAUGUAUGACUAUGGUGUCUUCUAUUUCUUUGAAGGUUAUAAAAAUAUGCAUUUUGAUAAAAAAAA